rnacentral:rRNA from 1 species
GAUGAACGCUGGCGGCGUGCCUAAUACAUGCAAGUCGAGCGAACAGACGAGGAGCUUGCUCCUCUGACGUUAGCGGCGGACGGGUGAGUAACACGUGGAUAACCUACCUAUAAGACUGGGAUAACUUCGGGAAACCGGAGCUAAUACCGGAUAAUAUAUUGAACCGCAUGGUUCAAUAGUGAAGGACGGUUUUGCUGUCACUUAUAGAUGGAUCCGCGCCGCAUUAGCUAGUUGGUAAGGUAACGGCUUACCAAGGCAACGAUGCGUAGCCGACCUGAGAGGGUGAUCGGCCACACUGGAACUGAGACACGGUCCAGACUCCUACGGGAGGCAGCAGUAGGGAAUCUUCCGCAAUGGGCGAAAGCCUGACGGAGCAACGCCGCGUGAGUGAUGAAGGUCCUCGGAUCGUAAAACUCUGUUAUUAGGGAAGAACAAAUGUGGAAGUAACUAUGCACGUCUUGACGGUACCUAAUCAGAAAGCCACGGCUAACUACGUG